UACAGAGGUGGCAAGCGUUGUUCGGAAUUACUGGGCGUAAAGGGCGCGUAGGCGGUUCGUUAAGUCCUGUGUGAAAUCCCCCGGCUCAACUGGGGAACUGCACAGGAAACUAGCGGGCUUGAGUUCGGGAGAGGGAAGCGGAAUUCCGGGUGUAGCGGUGAAAUGCGUAGAUAUCCGGGAGGAACACCCGUGGCGAAGGCGGCUCUCUGGGACGGU
rnacentral:rRNA from 1 species